GCUCCGUAGGUGAACCUGCGGAAGGAUCAUUAAAGAAUGUCCAGUUUUUCGAAAUCGGUUCUAUUCCCAAACCGUGUCUACAUACCUUUCUUGCUUUGGCGGGCCGCCUUCGGGCGUUGGCCUCGGCUCCGCGUGCCCGCCAGAGGUCCCAAACUCGCUUUGUUUAGUGAUGUCUGAGUACUAUAAUAUAGUUAAAACUUUCAACAACGGAUCUCUUGGUUCUG
rnacentral:misc_RNA from 1 species